rnacentral:lncRNA from 1 species
GAGGAAAUGGGCUCCUAUCCCACAAAAUACUUUUCCAGCGCUACACUGGUACAGAACAGACACUUCUGAAAGAUUUAACUGGAAACAGAAUAAUGAAUACACCAACAGACAGGGCUUCAGAGAAAAUGGAAACAGAUUUUUUCCUCAAACUUGAGAAAGGAGUGGGCUCCACUAAAAUUACAUCCAUCUUUCUUAUGGCUUCCUGGGAAGUCACAAGCAUAUUCAGAAAUCCACCCACCCAUCUGCUGUAGUAUGAAGCUGGGUAAGUUGUUUAGUCAAGUUUAGACUAGUGCCCACUGCAUAUGUUAUG